rnacentral:rRNA from 1 species
UAAACGUCUCAGUUCGGACUGUGGUCUGCAACCCGACCACACGAAGCUGGAAUCGCUAGUAAUCGUGAAUCAGAAUGUCACGGUGAAUACGUUCCCGGGUCUUGUACACACCGCCCGUCACACCAUGGGAGUCAGCAACGCCCGAAGUCAGUGACCUAACCGAGAGGGAGGAGCUGCCGAAGGCGGGGCCGGUAACUGGGGUGAAGUCGUAACAAGGUACC